CAAAAGCUUUCUGGACACCAAGUACCUCCUAUGGCAAGAAAGUAGUGAGAGAAAAAAAAAAACCUCUUUAGAGGCCUGAUCUAUACAAGGGAAGCCGUUUUAGAUGUCUUUCUAAGUCAACAUGACUGUAUGUAAACUUCGUUCAAACCCAAAGCCUGAUUUCCGGCCCCACCACGCAUGCAUUGUACAUCUGCUUUGUGAAAAGUAGCCCAGAGGAAAACCAUCUUGUCCUUGAAAUAGCGAUCACGGCUCCCGCUCCCUGCUUUCCUUGAUGAUAAAACCCAUGACUCCUGCCUAGAUGCUAAUCUCUAGUCUUUUGAGCUUCUCCAAGAUGUGAAAAGGCUAUAACCCCCUCAAAACUCUUGAUGCUCCAGAGCACUUUCCUUCUUGUGAAGAAUGUGUUUUCCGGGCAGCGGUCCUAACUUGGGCUGAAAUAAAACUCUCUUUCUUACUUUCAGAGAUUCUAAAAGGUUUGUUCAUUUGGUGUCGACAAAAAGAAGACGUGUGAGAAGUCCCACGCCUCACUGUCCGAACCCAGAGAACGAUUCUGUCAGAGACGCUCACGGGGGGCGGCACACCAUUGUGGGUGUGGGAUCAUGGCUUUAUGAUAAUGACACUUAAUACAUAUGGAGCACUUCUAAUUCCAGGUCCUGUUUUAAGCACUUUAUAUGACUGGCCUAUUUAAGUUUCACAGCAACACUAUGAAGUUGGUUCCAUUCUGCCCCUUUUACAGACAAAGAGGUGGAGGCUGAGUAAGUCCCUUAGAGUCUCCCAGACAGCAGGUGCCACAGGUGGGACCUGUGCUGAUGACCCCUUGUGUGCACAGUCUCCCUCAAACCUGCACUCGGCUUAGGACAUGGGGUACAGACCUGCCUGUGAACUUCGGGGGCUUCCUCUGGGUACCAUAUUGUUUCUAGAGUAGUCUGCCCUACGCAGCUGUGUCUCCUGACCAGGUGCUUUUAAGGGAAGGCUUUCACUUCCAAACACUCAGAAUAUACUGAUUCAGGAAUAAGUGUGUGUGUGUGUGUGUGGGGGGGGGGAGUCCAGAAUAUUGGACAUUUAAAAAAAGGACGGAAGAGCUGGAGUUGGGGAAGGUAAUUCCUAUUCGAUUCUUUCCUCCCGAAGGCUUAGCAGGCAGAGAGCCAUUUACAUGGAUACGAGGUGAAAUCAAAGAACAGCGCCACCAACCUGUCCAUGUGGGGAAAUGAUACUAGGAUCUAAGGCCAAUAGACCUGAGGUCUAGACAUUAACGGUCUUCCUUGUAUCCUCAACUGGCUUGAAAACCUGCGGCAUAAUUCAUCUAAAUACUAACAGAAUGACAUCAGUAAGGUGGGUCAGCUGCACGAAGAGGGGAAAGGAAGAGUCAGGAAACACUAGAAGCUAGACAGCUGUCACAUUAGUUGUUAGAAAAUUAAAGAGAGCCAGCCUGCUGUUUCUAGCGCUCUGUGCUCUGAUAUCCAAUUUGAGAGCUCUGUAAAGAACGAGAUGCUAGACUCCUAAUGAAGACAGGUCCCAGCCUCUUGAAAUUCAGAAAUGAAACAAGAAAUUCCUGAGGAACAAAUGAAGAAGUGACUGGGCAGAGCUGCUCAAGGAAGUGAAAGUUAAUUAUAGCAAAGCUGGUUUCAUAAGAGAGGACUAAGAGGUAAGUAGCACUGGUGUAUCUCCAUAAUGGAAAAGAGGGAUCUUUCCUUUCACUAAUAAUGUUCCUGGAAAAGUAAUUUUAUAUAUAGCAAGCUCAGAAUCACAGCAGCCUCUGUGGAAAUCAGAAACAAGCUUGGAGAAGCAGUAAAAACAAUAUAAGGAUGUGAGCCAGGGGAUGUGACUUUGGGGGAAUGGACACAAAGCCUCCGCAGGAACGGGACAUCUGGGGAGACACAGUGUCAGAAGAGAAGGGAGUGGGUGAGUGUACUUUGCAAAGUACAAAAAUGUCACACAUGCGGAGCUUAAAAAAAAACCCGCCAUUGUUAUUCUUCCCAGAACAGGAUGCUUUCAGAAGAAGGACAAGGUCUGCAGGGCUUAGAAGCACAGUGCCACUUGGCAGGUACCUUUGAUGGAAGAAACUCAAGUGAAUCUAAUAAAGGAUUGACCGUGUUCUGAGAUUGUUCUGAAGCUUCUUGAGGACAGUACGGUACACACUCUGAAUGUUGAUGGAUGAGAAUUCUUGCCGGGUCACCCAGGCAUGCUUGGGUCCUCCUGACUCAACCCUGAGCCUGACAAACACACCUCCUGGAUUUUCAGGGGCAGCACUAACUUAGAUCAGCCUCAGCUCUCUCCAUAAGUAAGCAGCUUUUUUUUUUCUUUUCUUUUUUCUUUUUUCAGGUAUCCUGAGGACGGGCCAGAAAACACGGUGAGGUACCCACCGAGCAUAGCCUUAGAGACUUUUCAUUUUCUUCUAUUUUUUUUUUUCUGACUCACCUGUUCCCUUUCUUCUUCUAGAGUUUUCAAAUACUUCCCUCUUCUUUCCACUUUGUUAUCCCCCGUUAUCUUUGUCCAACCUUUCUUCCUGAAGCCCUCGUUCCUUUUAGGAGGUCUCAAUGGCCUGCAGAACAUCAAUCAGCUGACUGCCUUCACUGUUUUGCUGACAGUAUUUUCCUCCUUUGAAAAACAAACAAACAAACAAACAAACAACCAAGCAUUUCCUUCUUCAACUCGGAAAACUCCGAGCCCACACAAUCACAGACUUUCACAUGACCUGCUGCAACUGUCCCCUCCCAGGGACGAUUGUUAUUAUUAUCAGAAUUAACUAUUGGGUUGUUCCGUUUCCCUGCCUCAGGGAGCAAGCCGGAGACUUGGUGUAGGCCAUCUCAGCCAGGAGUGGGGCCCGCGGGCCCUUCCCACAUCCCAGCACCCCGCCAGGGGGCUCUCUCUUCCUCGGGUUCCCCUGAAACCGCUCUCGCCGCACAGGACCUCCUGAUUGAGGGCCCCUACGCUAACUGGAACAGCGCCCAUUCACCACCAGUCUCCCUCCUCUAGGCGCCGCGAGAGCGCUCCCACCUGGGGCCCGCCCGGGUGUUUCCUCAACCCCGCCCCCUGGAAUCUGACCAAUCAGCUUCGGGCUUGCGUAGCAGCGUCUGAUUGGUGGAACACGGAGGGCGCCCCAGAGAGGGCUGAGCUCAUUGGACAGCUUCUUCGCGCGUCUAUAAAAGGGUCGCGGCCACCGCGCGGGUGAGCGCGCUGGAGGGAUCCUGGCGGCGGGCGAGAACGCUAAGCCUCGCGCCUCAGAGCCCCGGGCCGGGCCUGCCAGGGUCCCCUAGACCCCAGGUCCCUCACGCCCUUCGCACGCGGGGAUGGGAUGGCCUCCUUCGCCUCUCUCUGUCCGCGAGAGGAGCUCUACCUCUUGGCCUUUAUCCCCAAAGAGAACAUCCACUUGCUUUGACUUGGACGUAAGAAAUAUUUUUCGCUUAUGGGUCAUUGUAAUUGUUCAAGUAAACUCUGAAAACGUUGGCAGUUAUUCUCACGUGGAGAGGCUCCCUCACGAAUCCAUCACGCUGUGCAGUGUGCCCAUGCGUCAGUAGAGGCAGAAAGUGAAGGAAGACACCAAAGUCACUAGAGCACCUUUAGGUUCACGGCGCAGUUGAGGUGUGGAGAUUUCCCAUAUACCCACUGCCUUCACACGUGCACAGCCUCCGCCAUUUGCAACAUUCUUCGCCAGGGGGAAGAGAAGUAGCAAAGCUCUAAAGGGAGAAUUAUUUUUUUGCAGUUUCCCCCCAUUUCAUCGCUCGUGGUGGAUAUCCACAUGUUCCAGUACCCUAUUUCAAAAAGAUGAUCUUUUCUCCUUUGAGUUGCCUUGGUGCGUGUGUUGAAAAUCAAUUGGCUGAAAAUGUAAGGGAUUAUUUCUGGACUCUCAGUUUUAUUGCAUUGAUUUACAUGUUUCUCUUUAUGGUCAGUACCACACGGUCUUGAUUACUGUAGCUUUAUGAUAAGUUCUGCAAUUAGGAAGUAUAAGUCCUCCGACUGUGUUCCAAAUUGUGUUUUGGGUGCUCUAGGUUCUUGGCAUUUCUCUGCAAAUAUUAGGACCAGCUUGUCAUUGUCUGCAAAAAGCCUGCUGGGAUUUUUUUUUUUUUUUUUGGAUUGUUGAAUUUACUGAUCAAUCACUACCUCAGUGAUAUUGAGCUGUCUGAUCCAUGAAUACAGAUCUCCAUUUAUUUAGAUCUUUAAUUUCUCUCAACAAUAAUUUGUAGUUUUUGGUGAACAAGACUUCAAUCAAUAUUUUUGGAGGGGUCCUGAUAGGAAAUUUCUUUUUCUUCCCUUCAGAGAUCUCAUUGGAAACAAUGGAGGGGGUCACAGCUUAGCAGCCAGGAGCGGGAGGUGGGGUGGAGACUGGAAAAGGCACCAGCUUGGGCGACGGGAGGACCGGCUCUAAUCUGGGGCAAGCCAUUUCACCUCUCAGUUUGCUGAUCCCUAAAAUGAGUGUAAUGUAGUUUGUUCUGCUUCAAGGUUGUAAGGUUAGAGGUAAUGUGGGGAAGGAGCUUGGAAAAAUGUUGUCUGUCCUAUGAUGAGGCUGAUACGGCCAUUAAAGGGGACACGAAGAACUAACAGAAGAAGAUGCUCUGAGAGACCUCAUCUUGGCCACUGAGUCUCUUUGCAGCUCGAGGCAGAGGCCAGUGAUCCGCAGCGAAGUGAACAUACCAUCUCACUUGAUCGCCAGACAGCUCAUUGAAUUAGCUAUUUUCAUCCACAUUUUGCAAAAUGGAAACUGAUGUUCAGAGAGUUGAAGAAACAUGCUGUUCUCAUGGUGAAGGACAGAAACUCCAGAGAGCCGGAGCCAAUCUGUAAAGCAUAUUUAAAGUUUCUGCUUGGACAUCGUGUGUAUCACAUCUGCCUACAUCCAUUGUCAUACGGCCAAGGCCAAAGUCAAUUGAUGGGUAAUCUCAUAUGGCACUCUGGCUUCAGCAGACUGCUCACCGAGGCAUCCUGUGUCAACAUUUGCAACUGAGAUGCCAUGGAACUGUCCACUCAUAUCGCCAGCCUGGCGUCUCUCCUGUGCUGCCGUAUGAAUCUCAAGGGCCGUCUUCUUUGCACCGAGCAACAGAUGAUAUUGGUAGUGAAAACACAAAACACGGAGUCAAGAAACACUGGUCGCUUCACAUGUGGGUCCUGCCGGGCACUAACAAGGACCAGUUCCUUACUGGAAUUUGAAAGGACCGCUGUUACAUUCUGCUGUACUAUGGGUGCCCAGAGGAAAUGACUCCCUAGAGGGGAGCCUAGAUUGGACCGUCUAGCAGCCCAACAACACCAGAGCCAGCCAGGCAGCCAGGCCCCCUUCUCAGACUCACAUGUGCGGUCCUUUGGGCAUUGGCUUCACCUAGGGGCAUUGGCUCCCUAGAGCUCUUUUUUUCUCAUCACCUAGCCGUCUUCUCUAGCCCGGGCUCGGCAAACUCCAACCCGUGGGCCAAAUUCAACCUGCUGCCUAGUUUUGUAAGUACAUUUUUAUCGGAACACAGCCAUGCCCACUCAUUUACGUAUUUUCUGUGAUGGCUUUCAGGUAACAGAUGGCAAAAUCGAGUAGUUGCAGCAGAAGUCCACAGAGCCUAAAACAUUUCCUCUCUGGCUGUUUAUAGAAAGCAGUGCUGACUCCUGGUCUAAACCAUCCCUGGCAUUGUGAAACCUUAAAGAUUUGGAGGAUUUGGGCUUGGGCACUACAGUUCUUAUCUGAUAUAUUUUCUCCCCCUUGGAUAAA